AGAUGGUGAGGGCAAAGCCGAGAAGAGAUGAUUCAAUGGGCUCUACAAGGCAGUGUUCUGGUUGGAAGGCUCAGCAGGCUUACUCCUACUGCCUCUGCUGCUUCGGCUGGAAAGAGACCAGACCAACCAUGAGGGGUGCCUGGCACAGGGAUGGCGGGAGCUGGUUCUCUCACCGGCAUUGCUGUGUAUGAAGCACAUAAGGCAUGCCUUCACGAGACUGCCGUGGCUGGUGGAGGAACCUUCAGUGAUCAUAUAGAUCCAGCUGUUGAUCUGGGUGUCACCCAUGUUAAACUCUAAGCUGUGAAAGUUGAUCGAGAAUCAUUCAGUAUGUCUACAUGGUUAAUGGAGGAAGAUAUGGCGCUGAAACACUUAAGGUGAGGUUGGAAAGGAACAUGAAGAAUUUAGUGGAUGGGAGAGGUGAUGGAGCCAAAUAUGAGUGGUGUGGACAGCUCACAACAGAGUCUGGCGAAGGACUGUCCUCUCAUAGCUGGGCAGAGAAUGCAGAGGGCCUUUUGUACAAGAAGGUUCCAUCCACUCCCUUUGGCUCUUCAUGGUCUUUCCUGUGGACAUUCCAGAAGAGUGCAGGAAGGUGACCUUGGGGGAAUCUGUGGUUCGUGUUGGAACACUGGACAUACCACAUAAUUGGAAAGAUGCCUUCUGGAAGCAUCACAAGGUGCAACUCAACUUUUCAAAUGCUGGUAACAAGAACAUUUCCAUUUCCAAUGACUACUUGUGUCCUGAAACUUUCCACCCAAAUAAUAGCAGACAUUCUAGCUGUGACAGUCAUGGGCACGAUGCCAGGGUCUCUGUGACAACCAUGAUCAUCCAAGUAGUGACCUGUGGGAGGCGAGAAGGUAAUUGGUUUCAAGACGACUAAGUAGCCAGUUUUGGUUCAAACUUUUGGAACCUGCCCCUGAGUUUUAGCUAUAUUUAAGCAAAGUAUAAUUUGGUAGAAACCUUUCCUUGUGAUAAGGAACUCAAUCUCGUGUGCACAAUAAAGCUUAAGAUGU
rnacentral:lncRNA from 1 species